rnacentral:lncRNA from 1 species
AUGCUAGCCAGCAUCCUGCCCACUGUCUCUAGUCUUCAUGGCCAGCUCAUAGUUCUUGAAGAGAAGAGCAUGGCUCCAAGGUAAUGCCACACUGCAGGGGCAGAGCUGGCUUUCAGUCUAUCCAAGCUGACUUCCAGGUCUAUACUGUGUCUGUCUCCUGCCACCUUUCUGGUCUGUGCUAAGCUCCGGGUGCAGAAGAAGAAGACAGAUUCCUGCUGGUUUUGUGGGACUAGGAAAGUCUUGUGUUUGCAUGUCGUCUCUAAGAGAACAGCUUUGAUUGAAGCAGACAGAUACACACCAGUGUUUGUAUGGAUAUGGGCAAGGUGUUGGCAUGGGUUUGUGUGGGUCCAUGUGUCUGUGUGCAUCUGGGCUCUGUAAUUGGAACUGGGAGUAAGGCUCUCACUGUCCUCCCCUGCAAAGCAACCACAUUCUGGAGCUGCCGUGGGGACCUGGUCAGUCAUGGCCAGGCCGGAAGUUCCUGGUAAAUACAACUGCUUUUCAUUAAAGUGGCCGAGAGGGAGAAAUCCAGCCCAGCCCAGGUCAUGGUCACAGCCAUGAGCAACCAUCCUCAGCCAAGCCAGAAAGAUGCAGCUGAGGCCCCAGGAGACCUGCAGUUGCAGUCCAGCUCUGGGGUCCCAGGGUCACCCGUGUCAGCACCCACAGAAGGCAUCGGAGGAAGAAGAAUUCAAAUAGCCUGAGGACCAGUGGGGGCGGGGAGACGAUGCCCACACCCUCCUGGCAGUUCUGCCUGCUCUCUCUCCUAAUUCAUCUAUCACGAUAUGGCUGGAUUCCAUCCAUCCUACCAACUUCCUGCUCAGGAACUGGCCAUGACUUUUCCACAUCUCAACUGAAUUGCACUUCUGGGCUCAGUGUAAACGUCCUCUGUGGCUUUGCAAGCUGGACAUCAUCACGUCCUCCUCCCAUGGUUCUCUAACCCAAGCCAUCCCCAUGUCCAGCUACUCUCCCCACAGAUAUCCUGCCAAGUCCUUCCACAUCAUUGCUCAUGAACUUUAAAAAAAAA